AGACGGAGAGAGAAAAAGGGUACAAGCCAGGGAGAGAAUGAGAAGGAGACAGGGGAUGGGUGGGCAGAGGGUGAAACCAACCAUUUCAGAGAGAGACGGAGAGAGAAAAAGGGUACAAGCCAGGGAGAGAAUGAGAAGGAGAUAAAGAAGAGAGAGGUAGCGAGAGAAAAAGAGAAAAAGAGAAUAGACAGGUGUGCGAUAGACAAAAUAAAAAAAGGAACGCCACACUGAUAUAUGUGUUAGUUACACCACCCAAGAAGACGAUUAAGAGUUCAUGUGUUACACCACCCAGGAAGACGAUUAAGAGUUCAUGUGUUACACCACCCAGGAAGAAUAGUAAGAGUUCAUGUGUUACACCACCCAGGAAGACUAGUAAGAGUUCAUGUGUUACACCACCCAGGAAGACGAUUAAGAGUUCAUGUGUUACACCACCCAGGAAGACGAUUAAGAGGUCAUGUGUUACACCACCCAGGAAGAAGAUUAGGAGGUCAUGUGUUACACCACCCAGGAAGAAGAUUAGGAGGUCAUGUGUUACACCACCCAGGAAGACGAUUAAGAGUUCAUGUGUUACACCACCCAAAAGACUAGUAAGAGUUCAUGUGUAACACCACCCAGGAAGACGAUUAAGAGUUCAUGUGUUACACCACCCAGGAAGACGAUUAAGAGGUCAUGUGUUACACCACCCAGGAAGACGAUUAGGAGGUCAUGUGUUACACCACCCAGGAAGACGAUUAAGAGUUCAUAUGUUACACCACCCAGGAAGACAUUUUAAGAGUUAAUGUGUUACACCACCCAGGAAGACGAUUAAGAGUUCAUGUGUUACACCACCCAGGAAGACGAUUAAGAGUUCAUGUGUUACACCACCCAGGAAGACGAUUAGGAGGUCAUGUGUUACACCACCCAGGAAGACUAGUAAGAGUUCAUGUGUUACACCACCCAGAAAGACUAGUAAGAGUUCAUGUGUUACACCACCCAGAAAGACUAGUAAGAGUUCAUGUGUAACACCACCCAGAAAGACUAGUAAGAGUUCAUGUGUUACACCACCCAGAAAGACUAGUAAGAGUUCAUGUGUUACACCACCCAGGAAGACGAUUAAGAGUUCAUGUGUUACACCACCCAAAAGACUAGUAAGAGUUCAUGUGUAACACCACCCAGAAAGACUAGUAAGAGUUCAUGUGUAACACCACCCAGAAAGACUAGUAAGAGUUCAUGUGUUACACCACCCAGGAAGACGAUUAGGAGGUAAUGUGUUACACCACCCAGGGGGAAUUUGUGUGUGCUUUCCUAGCCUCUGACUAGUCGGAUGGAUUAGAUUCAAUAAAAACAGAGAAUACAGUGCCUUGCGAAAGUACUCACCCCCCUUGCAUUUUCCCUAUUUUUUUUUGCAUUACAACCUGUAAUUUAAAUAGAUUUUUUUUUAUUUGAAUUUCAUGUAAUGGACAUACACAAAAUAGUCCAAAUUGGUGAAGUGGAAUGAAAAAAAUAACUUGUUUCAAAAGAAUGUAAAAAAUUGAAAAUGGUAAAGUGGUGCGUAUGUAUUCACUCCCUUUGCUAUGAAACCCCCGAAUAAGAUCUAGUGCAACCAAUUACCUUCAGAAGUCACAUGAUCUGUCACAUGAUCUCAGUAUAUUUACACCUGUUCUGAAAGGCCCCAGAGUCUGCAACAACACUAAGCAAGUGGCCCAAUGAAGAUCAAGGAGCUCUCCAAACUGGUCAGGAACAAAGUUGUGGAGAAGUACAGAUCAGGGUUGGGUUAUAAAAAAAAUAUCAGAAACUUUGAACAUCCUACAGAGCACCAAUAAAUCCAUUAUAAAAAAAUGAAAGAAUAUGGCACCACAACAAACCUGUCAUGAGAGGGCCGCCCACCAAAACUCACGGACCAGGCAAGGAGGGCAUUAAUCAGAGAGACAACAAAGAGACCAAAGAUAACCCUGAUGGAGCUGCAACACUCCACAGCGAAGAAUGGAGUAUCUGUCCAUAGGACAACUUUAAGCCGUACACUCCACAGAGCUGGGCUUUACGGAAGAGUGGCCAAAACAAAGCCAAUGCUUAAUGAAAAAAAUAAGGAAACACAUUUUGUAUUUGCCAAAAGACAUGUGGGAGACUCCCCGAACAUAUGGAAGAAGGUACUCUGGUCAAAGGAGGCUAAAAGCUUUUUGGCCAUCAAGGAAAACGCAAUGUCUGGGGCAAACCCAACACCUCUCAUCACCCCGAGAAUACUAUCCCCACAGUGAAGCAUGGUGGUGGCAGCAUCAUGCUGUGGGAAAGUUUUUCAUCAGCAGGGACUGGGAAACUGGUCAGAAAUGAAUGAGUGAUAGAUGGCGCUAAAUACAGGGAAAUUCUUGAGGUAAACCUGUUUCAAUCUUCCAAAGAUUUGAGACUGAGAUGGAGGUUCACCUUUCAGCAGGACAUUGACCCUAAGCAUACUGCUAAAGCGACACUCGAGUGGUUUAAGGGGAACUAUUUAAAUGUCUUGGAAUGGCCUAGUCAAAGCCCAGACCUCAUUCCAAUUGAGAAUCUGUGGUAUGACUUAAAUAUUGCUGUACACCAGCAUAACCCAUCCAACUUGAAGGAGCUGGAGCAGUUUUGCC